CAGUCGCCGCGGUAAUACGUAGGUGGCAAGCGUUGUCCGGAAUUAUUGGGCGUAAAGGGCUCGCAGGCGGUUUCUUAAGUCUGAUGUGAAAGCCCCCGGCUCAACCGGGGAGGGUCAUUGGAAACUGGGAAACUUGAGUGCAAGAGGGGAGAGUGGAAUUCCAUGUGUAGCGGUGAAAUGCGUAGAUAUAUGGAGGAACACCGGUGGCGAAAGCGGCUCUCUGGCUUGUAACUGACGCUGAGGCUCGAAAGCGUGGGGAGCAAACAGGAUUAGAGACCCCAGUAGUCCCUGUCUCUUAUAC
rnacentral:rRNA from 1 species